rnacentral:rRNA from 1 species
UACGUAGGGCGCAAGCGUUGUCCGGAAUUAUUGGGCGUAAAGAGCUCGUAGGCGGCCUGUUGCGUCCGCUGUGAAAUCCCGGGGCUCAACCCCGGGCGUGCAGUGGAUACGGGCUGGCUGGAGGCAGGCAGGGGAGAACGGAAUUCCUGGUGUAGCGGUGAAAUGCGCAGGAUAUCAGGAGGAACACCGGUGGCGAAGGCGGUUCUCUGGGCCUG